GGCUAUUGCCACGGCAGUGAUAUUAAAUACUCCGUUAUUCUAUUUUUCUCAUCUCUCUCGUAAUCUUGUUCACUCUCCUCAGACCUUACCACCUCAGUUCUCUCUCCUCUCUCUUUAUCUCGUCCUCCCUCUUUUCUUCCUCAAAGACGAAGGCAACCAUCGCCGCAGCCGUAGCCGCAACCACAUCCACAACCACCGUCGCUCACAAAUUAAAUUCUCUUUCUUUCUUCUCCCUCCUCAUUCACUGAUGGUCACGGUGGUGAUGGUGGUCGCGAGUGAUAACGACGGUGCUGUUCGAUUUUUAGAGUUUUGAUUGGUGUUCAUGGGUUUCGAUUUGUAACUGUUGGUGAUGGUGGAGAGCAGCGAUGGUGAGUUUCGAUUUGUAAUUGAUGGCGGUGGAGGAGAGUUGCUGAACUAACGUCGCUCAAACUCCAGCUUCGUGCCCUGAUCUUUGAGGGAUUUAGAUCCAUUGUAUAUGUGUAAAUAGUGCUCUAGAGGUGGAUACUGCUGAAGAAGAUGCUUCCCAAAUUGUUCCCGAGUUGCUUUACUUGAGAAAUUGGAGAAGCAGAUAAAGAAAUGAUAAUGCUGUCCAAAGAAUUGCUGAAAAUAUUGUUUGGGGGACAAAAUUGUUUGGUUUUAACUUUUAAUUGUGUUUUUCUUAGUUUAACUAUUGAUAAUUUAAUUUUGUAAUUUUCCUUAUAGAUAACAAUGUACAAACUUUUGAUUUAUAUUAAUAAAAUUCUAAAUUUUUUUUUUUUGAAAAUUC